rnacentral:rRNA from 1 species
CCUACGGGUGGCUGCAGUGGGGAAUAUUGCACAAUGGGGGAAACCCUGAUGCAGCAACGCCGCGUGAGUGAAGGAGUACUUCGGUAUGUAAAGCACUAUCAGUGGGGAAGAAGAGAGUAGGUACCUGACCAAGAAGCAUCGGCUAACUACGUGCCAGCAGCCGCGGUAAUACGGGGGGGGCAAGCGUUAUCCGGAUUUACUGGGUGUAAAGGGAGCGUAGGCGGCUGGUCAAGUCAGAAGUGAAAGCCCGUGGCUCAACCGGGGAACUGCUUUGGAAACUGGCCGGCUUGAGGACUGGAGAGGCAGGCGGAAUUCCUGGUGUAGCGGUGAAAUGCGUAGAUAUUAGGAGGAACACCGGUGGCGAAGGCGGCCUGCUGGACAGAAACUGACGUUGAGGCUCGAAAGCGUGGGGAGCAAACAGGAUUAGAUACCCCAGUAGUC